GGCAGUGGUGGCUGGUUGGUUAAGGCUCUGACUUACUACUCAGAAGGUCAGGGGUUCAAGCCCCAGCACUGCCA